rnacentral:rRNA from 1 species
GAUGAACGCUGGCGGCGUGCCUAAUACAUGCAAGUCGAGCGAACAGACGAGGAGCUUGCUCCUCUGACGUUAGCGGCGGACGGGUGAGUAACACGUGGAUAACCUGCCUAUAAGACUGGGAUAACUUCGGGAAACCGGAGCUAAUACCGGAUAACAUAUUGAACCGCAUGGUUCAAUAGUGAAAGACGGUUUUGCUGUCACUUAUAGAUGGAUCCGCGCCGCAUUAGCUAGUUGGUAAGGUAACGGCUUACCAAGGCAACGAUGCGUAGCCGACCUGAGAGGGUGAUCGGCCACACUGGAACUGAGACACGGUCCAGACUCCUACGGGAGGCAGCAGUAGGGAAUCUUCCGCAAUGGGCGAAAGCCUGACGGAGCAACGCCGCGUGAGUGAUGAAGGUCUUCGGAUCGUAAAACUCUGUUAUUAGGGAAGAACAAAUGUGUAAGUAACUAUGCACGUCUUGACGGUACCUAAUCAGAAAGCCACGGCUAACUACGUG